rnacentral:lncRNA from 1 species
AAAGGACUUUAUAUGAGGAAGUGACAUACGUCUGUUUGAGACGAUUCUUUCAGUUAAAAUUUCAACUAAAUACUAAUACAAAUCUGUCAGGACGAAACUGUUUGUAUAUCUUUCUUCUAUAUGGCAGUUUAUACGACGUGGUUUAUGUUACAAACUGGCUGAAAUAAGCACGAAAUUUACUUAAUAAUUGCGACAUAUUAAAUACAGCGAGUAAAUAUGGCAUCAAAUUAUCAACUCGGGUACGAUGACGAAAGAUUCGAGUCGAUAGUGAACCGAAAUUUCCACUGUUUGAUUUGCUCUAACGUCUUGAAAGACCCCGUGAUGUGCCGCAGAAAUCAGCACUGUUUUUGCCGCGGCUGCAUCACGGAACAUCUUCGUAGGAAUUCCCAUACAUGCCCAACGUGCGCUGACGAGCUGAGUGUCGAAACAUUGCAAGACGUUCCAAGAAUUGUGAAGGAUUACUUAGACGAACUAAGUAUCCGUUGCGACCAUUACGACAGAGGAUGUCGAGAACUCGUACAGCUGCAGAAUUUAAAGCGACAUGUCGCCGAAUGCGGGUUUACCCCAGUCGUUUGUGGAAAUCAAGGUUGCGGUGAGGCAAUCAGUAAAAGAGAUCGUACAUAUCACGAGAGUGAACUGUGUCAAUUUAGAAAGUUGAAGUGUCACAACUGUGGAGAAAUCAGCACGAUGAUGGCGGGUAUGGAAACGAAAAUGGCAAACUUGGACACGAAUCAGGCGGAUAUGCGAACGAAAUUAGCAAAUGUGAGCACGGAAAUGACGGCUGUUAAAACGAAAUUGACAAACACGAACACGAAACUAACAACCAUGGACACGAAAAUGGCAAAUAUUAGCACGGAAAUGGCAAAUAUUAGCACGGAAAUGGCAAAUGUGAAAACAAAAAUGGCACAUACAGACACGAAACUAGAAAACCUGCACACGAAGCUGAAAAAUGUUGACACGAAAGUGACAAACUUGCAGGCGAACGUGGAAGCCAAGUUCGAAGCAGUGAAUAAUGAGGUGAGAGGAAUGAAAAUGAGUUUAAAUGAAGUAAAAAAUGACUUCCAUCAGUUGAAAGAAGCAGUUCUUGAGAAGAUAGAAAGCGGAGAAGGAAAGCAGGAGGAAAUCACAAGAGAUGUAAGUGGCACAGCGAGUGGCGGGAGAGAAAAUCAACACAUAUUUGUUGCUGGUGGUGUGGAGAGAAACUCGGUAGAAAUAUUUAACUGCCGUCAGAGAUUGUGGUCUUUAUUAAAGCCCAUGCCAGUGAAGCGUGACGAUGCAUCUUCAUUUGUUUACAAUAAUCAUGUGACUGUAGCGGGAGGUGAAUGUAAUUGUGCUGCUGUAGAUCAUAUGAUCCAAAUGAACAUUCAUCCUAUUCCUGAUCUGUCAAUUAACUGGAGUGACUUUGGUGCCAAACUGCCUAUCAAGUUGUAUGCACA